UUACUAUUUUAGCUUAUUACCUAUGCACGCUAACAUGUUUCCUACUAAGACUCAAAAGGUUAUUUUGUCACAAAUUGCAGCCUGCAUUUGUUCCUUUAAAAAAUGUCCCCCCAAAACCUUCCAGUAUCUCAUCGGUUGUCUCACAGGCGACCCCGGAUCCCACAACGUUUUUCCCACUAAUUAAAAUGUUGGCCCUCCUAUCCAUGAACCACUUGCAAAUGGCAUGCAAACAGCUUCAAUUUCAAAGUGAAGGACCAGCUGUGUGCUAAGACACUUGGCCAUUUUUGAAGACCUAAUGCUUGGGCUUUUGAAAUUAAUGCGGUCCCGAGAAAUAGAAAAAAAAGUACAGAAAAAGCCUCCCGUUUGAUAAGCAGCAGAUGUUCUCCUGGAUAUUCCGUAGUUGCUGACAGUUUCUGAUAUGUCGCAGCUUGCAUACUGUAUAUACUUGAUAUCAUGCAUAGGCGAGAUAUGAAACAUACACCUUUUGGGCUGUGAAGUUUCUCAGAGCUGACUUACCGAAGCCAGUAUCCAUUCAUGUCCUGAAGCUGGAAUCCCAGUUUUUCAUCAGCAAGAUUUUAGAGUCAUAGUUUUUCCCUGCUUUCUUGUGGGCUUAUUUUUGUGGGAAACUGAUCAUCAUUCUUAUGGAACUUCCAUACACAACUGGUGUUAUUAAUUUAAUAUAUGUAUACCAUUUUAUAUUAUAAAAUGUAAAUUUUUAUCAGUUGUAUCUGUGUUUGGAGAUUUAAAUGUUAAUUUGAGUAUCUAAUCCAUAUCUAGAGGAGCUGUUUUUUGUACAUUUAUAAUUGUAGGCAGGGCUACUGUACAUUCUUAAAUGCACGUUGUACAAUUUUGUUUUGUUCUAAUCACUGUCAUUGUUGAAAUGCUUGUGUGAAUUGUAGUUCAUCAUUUUUACAUUUUUUUAAUAUCCUCUUUUCAAAAAAAAAAACAAAAGGUGCUUUGAUACCAUUGUUGGAAGGUAAAGAACUUUAAGGUAGGAGGAAGAUACCAGUAGAAUGCUGAUGCUGAUUGCUGAUAUUAUUGUGGAUGCUGCUGUUGAAUUUGCAUUCAUUUUCACCAUCCCCCCAUCUGAUAUUUCACCUAAGAGCGGUGCUCAGCUGCUGGAAUCAUGUUUGGGGUCAGAAUGCUUGAGACAACAUUAUUAAAUGGCUCUCAUACAGUUCCUAUAAACAAACCACUGGGCAGGACCCUUAGACCUGGCCAAUAAAGUUCGGUGGUGGGCUGAGGCUGGGCCAGGGUCAGGUAGGGUCUGUUUGGACGGGUUAUUUAUGGACAGCAGCCGUUCCCUGGGCCACAGUUGCUAAGGCCCGUCUGGAGUUCUGUCCUACCCUGGGGGAAAGGAAGUUGGUCAUCAGGUCAAAGCCUGAUGGGAUUGAUCAGCCAACAGGUGGGCAUUACAGAGUCUCUGGAAACAACCCCAGACUGUUCACACCUGUCUCUGCUGUCAAUCAGCGCCGCCUUAUACUCACGCUGCACGGCGGAAAGUAAAACUCACCCAAACCUCUAGGAAAAAAAUCAUAAAAGAUCUCAUUAAAAUAUAUGCUUCUGGAAGCCCAUAAAACAACAAUUGUUGAUAUAAUUUUCCUGAUAGGACGUCUGCCAUAGUAUCUGUGAGUUGUUUAUUGCCUUAUAUGUUUUCUGUGCUGGGUAGGACUGGUGAUUGAAGUGGUCAGUCGAGUGCUGCGUAACUCGAUCCCUUAAUCUAUUCUUGUAUUCAAGAACACUGGUUAGAGUCUAUAUAUUGCCCCACAGGGAACGGUUUCAAAUGACAUACCGUUCCGUUUAAAUUUACAUUUGCAAGACGUUUAUUACUUUUCUGUGUGUGCAUAAAUAGUUCUUGGGACUCACAAUGCUGAGGUGUUUCUGCAUUCCUCUGAUAUAGCAGGUUAAUAAUCGAAAAGGGACUGAUUUGUGCUCUUUGAUCCUAAGCCGAGCUUCACCCAUUGAUCACAUGCUUGUUUCUGCACAGUCAUUUGCCGUCAGGCACCUGUAGAGUCAUUGAUGACUGCCUGUUUCAUGCAGAAAUCAUUAGUCACAGUCAUAUUAUAAUGCCAUCUUUAACCCAGUUAGAUUAAUUAUUUAUAUAAGCCAUUUAACUAAUUUCUUUGUCUCAACAUUGCUCAGUGUAAAUAAGUUUUGAUUAUUAAGAAUGAAUAUGUGAAACUGACAACUAAUGCAGCAAGAGCUGUUAAUACUAUUAUUAUUAAUAUGGUCAUAAUACAGCCAUCUUUCAAAUACGUUUUCCGUGUUUUCAGUCUUAGUGUGGAUACCCAAGUUAUAAAUACAAUUUGAACCCCCAGCCCUGGAAUUUUACAUUCUAAAUGAUAGAAUUUAAUAUUAUAGAGCAUAUUUAUGUAGCGGUAUGCCAAUGGAGGGCCACGGCUUUGGCCUCUGGAGUCUGUGUCCCCUAAGAGAUCUCUCCUCUUCUAUUUUGUCCACGUCAUUGCUGUAAAAUAAAAUAGCCAAUGGUAAUCCCCCCAGAUACAGUCCAAGAUUCAUUUCGGUGCCACCUGGCAGCCCGUGCUGGAUUAAGCGGCCAUAGGCGUAAUGUGCCCCCCCCCCCCCAUCCUUGUGUCCCCAAACAACUGGCUCCCCAUUGAAACAAUGAGCUUAUUGGCUGCUUUCAACGAUGCGCUUAAAUGUUCCUUUCUGCUGGAAUGUAGAGCUGCGUGCUGAGUGUGGUGCUGGAAUAUCGGAGCACAGCGGCUCCAUUGGGGGGGUCAGUGGAAGUUAGCUUUGGGUUGUGGGGGGAGAGGGGUGGACCAGUUGUAUGAAAUCUUAUUCUUUUCAAACAGGCAUCAAACAGGCACAAAUUAUAAAAGCCCAGCUGUCGAGCCUGAUGAAGGCCACGAGCGCCAGGAAAAGUAAAUAUCCGCGAUAGAAGACAGUCACCACAAACCCUGAAGUAGAGACUGUGGUUCUGGGCUCCAGCUCCUUAAGAAAAUUUAUCAGUAUCAAAAAAUUAUGAAAUUCAUUCUUGUUUGUUUUGUCUGUAAAUUACGGUUUGAAAAGGUAGAAAAGGACUGUCGACAAGCUAAUCCACACUGAAAUUAGGGUUCUAUCCAGACAUCUCCUAUAUAAACACAACAAAAAUGUAUAAUUCUCAUUAUCUUGUUUCAUUGUAGGCAAUUCCAAAGAUGCCACCUAUAAAAUUUAAGCAGGAAUUAAAAACGCCAGUAUAUCAGUGCAAUUCCUAGCAGCAACUCACUGUGAGCAGUAUAGCUGAAAAUAAUACAGAUUUUCUGAUAUUGAAGUGCAGAUAUGGAUGAUAAAUUUAAUUAUUAAUAGGGUAACAUCUUUUUCCACCCCAAGCCUUGUAAAUUUAGCAUGAAAAUUAGCACCUGCCUAAAUUUGCAAGUUAGUAUACACUGCUAUACCAUUUUCUUUUGGCAGCCUGCUUGCUAAAAACAAAAAUACCAUGGUAUUAACAGAAUUUUCAAAGAGUAUAUAUAAAAUAUCAAGUUGUUUUCUUUGUAGCACCUUAAUACUAUGUGUGUUUCAGCCUGAAACACCUCAAUCCGUUACUCAGGAUGAAGCCCACUGUUGUACUGGCCUGAAAACAAAAGAAAACCCAAAAGCGGUUCCAUUAAUGAAGGUGGAGGAGCUGCGCUUCACCUCCAUGCUGCUUCCCCACACUUCCCCAAAGAGGUCGUCCAUGCAGGCUCCAUGGAGAGCCGCUCACUUUGUCUGCAGAUCUUCUUCUGUGUGGUACCGGGUGGCAAAGUGCAGGGCGGGUGUUGGGGGUGUGAGACGCGCGUGCCGGGUGGUUUCGGCCUUUAAAAGGCUCCUCAGGUCCGUCUGCAGUAGAGCUGUGCAGCAGCUGCCAUGGGAAUCUCCUGUAGCACCAGUACAAAAGGAGCCCCUGUCAUCCAGUGCCACAAAUAGUCAUACUUCAGUCACUCCGGGGCUUAGGGACACACUACAGCAAAGAGAAAUUAGUUCUCAGCAAAUUACUAUACAAAAUAAUCAAUUUUCUAUGAAGACUUAAACAAAUGCAUUUUGUAUUUUAUUUUGUUUGUUUUCAAAUGUAUUAAUCAAAAGAAUAGACACAAUACAGUGCAAGGGAUGAGACGUUUCUCCUUUGGUCCUGCAGAGGGCGCUGCCAUCACUGUUUAACUUGCUGUGAUUCUGUGUUUCAAGGGCUAUGAGGGUUUCUGGGUUUCUCUAGUUGCAGGCAGGCCGGCUGGCUGGCACCCUAAAAACUAGCCUCUUCUUCCAGGAGACAGCUGUCCUCUCUGUGAUGCUAUGGAUCGGCCAAUGGAGGAUGAGAGCUGGAAAGGGGGGCAGCCAAUGAGCUGGCUGCUGUCAGAUGCUGGUUUUAUGGAGCCAGUUGGGCCCAGACAGUGUGCACCAUUCCAAGAACUAGUGUCAGGGUUGGGCGUUGCUUCCCGUUCGCACACUCUGCCACUUUCAGAUACGGACUCCAAGUUCACAGUGGAACAUUGAGGGAUGAAUUCUUUUCGCUUCUGUUCUGGCAAUGAUUUAAUUUCACAGCAGCAAUGCAGUGCUGUCCUGACCAUGGCCUUGGUGCAGGUGUGUCUGGUGGAACAGCUAUGAUGCUGACUUGUGAAGUGAAGCCACUGGAUGGCAGAACCAGUCCAACUGUGACAGACUGCAGGAUUGCCAUGAGCACAGAGCAUAUUCCCUGUCACCGGACUGAGCUGCUAUGCCCCUCUCCUGAUGCACGCAGCCUUCUGAGGUUGUGACGACCUGCAGUCGGCUGCUAGAUCUCAAGAGCUUCCUCUGCAGUGACCCUCCCAUCCAAGAGCUCAAGCAGUGUGACACUUUGUCCAAGUUUGUCAUGCUGAUAAAUAGUGGAGCAUUCUGCCCUUUGUCGCAUUGCAUUUUUCAUUUACUCAUAUGUUACGGCUUCCAGUGCCCUCCAGUGCCGGGGCUGUGGGUGUGAAUCUCCAAAUCCAUUCCACCAUUUGAUCGGAAGACUGCAGCGGAAAUGGCUGAUGUGACGCAGGGCUAAUACUAUGACGAGUGAAUCAAAGCCAUUUCUUCCACUGAGAGCGCGUCCUUAUACCAAAACUGAUGGACUCGUUAAAGAGGACUUACAAUUUAACGGACAAACAAGCUAUAUUUGCCAUUUGUACAAGUACAGGUACAUUGGAAUGCUUCAUUCUGCCGACCCCAUCUAGCUCUCCAUAGAUUGGGGGUCACAGCACAAUUUAUUCAUAGCAUUAGAAGAACCUCUAAAAAUGGAGGCUGACUUGUUAAGUGUGGCCCUGAAUGAGGUCAUCCGGUGGUAACGGUGCCAUGCCAGGGUACGGGAGCAGAGUGGCCAGCCCCCCCCCAUGGCACUUCCAGUGUGUGUGUGUGUGGAUUAUGUUUAUAUUACAUUGUGGGGACCAAAUGCCCCCAACAAUGUAAUAGAAAGGUCCUCAAUAUGAUUUGUGAAUGUGUUAAAAAAAAUAAUAAAAAUGCCAGAAGUCUCGCAUU